GACGAACGCUGGCGGCGUGCUUAACACAUGCAAGUCGAACGGAAAGGCCCUGCUUUUGUGGGGUGCUCGAGUGGCGAACGGGUGAGUAACACGUGAGUAACCUGCCCUUGACUUUGGGAUAACUUCAGGAAACUGGGGCUAAUAUCGGAUAGGAGCUCCUGCUGCAUGGUGGUGGUUGGAAAGUUUCGGCGGUUAGGGAUGGACUCGCGGCUUAUCAGCUUGUUGGUGGGGUAGUGGAUUACCAAGGAUUUGACGGGUAGCCGGCCUGAGAGGGUGACCGGCCACAGUGGGACUGAGAUACGGCCCAGACUCCUACGGGAGGCAGGAGUGGGGAAUAUUGCACAAUGGGCGGAAGCCUGAUGGAGCAACGCCGCGUGCGGGAUGACGGCCUUCGGGUUGUAAACCGCUUUCGACUGUGACGAAGCGUGAGUGACGGUAAUGGGCAAAGAAGCACCGGCUAACUACGU
rnacentral:rRNA from 1 species